rnacentral:rRNA from 1 species
GACGAACGUUGGCGGCGUGCUUAACACAUGCAAGUCGAACGGAAAGGCCCUGCUUUUGUGGGGUGCUCGAGUGGCGAACGGGUGAGUAACACGUGAGUAACCUGCCCUUGACUUUGGGAUAACUUCAGGAAACUGGGGCUAAUACCGGAUAGGAGCUCCUGCUGCAUGGUGGGGGUUGGAAAGUUUCGGCGGUUGGGGAUGGACUCGCGGCUUAUCAGCUUGUUGGUGGGGUAGUGGCUUACCAAGGCUUUGACGGGUAGCCGGCCUGAGAGGGUGACCGGCCACAUUGGGACUGAGAUACGGCCCAGACUCCUACGGGAGGCAGCAGUGGGGAAUAUUGCACAAUGGGCGGAAGCCUGAUGCAGCAACGCCGCGUGCGGGAUGACGGCCUUCGGGUUGUAAACCGCUUUCGCCUGUGACGAAGCGUGAGUGACGGUAAUGGGUAAAGAAGCACCGGCUAACUACGUGCCAGCAGCCGCGGUGAUACGUAGGGUGCGAGCGUUGUCCGGAUUUAUUGGGCGUAAAGGGCUCGUAGGUGGUUGAUCGCGUCGGAAGUGUAAUCUUGGGGCUUAACCCUGAGCGUGCUUUCGAUACGGGUUGACUUGAGGAAGGUAGGGGAGAAUGGAAUUCCUGGUGGAGCGGUGGAAUGCGCAGAUAUCAGGAGGAACACCAGUGGCGAAGGCGGUUCUCUGGGCCUUUCCUGACGCUGAGGAGCGAAAGCGUGGGGAGCGAACAGGCUUAGAUACCCUGGUAGUCCACGCUGUAAACGGUGGGUACUAGGUGUGGGGUCCAUUCCACGGGUUCCGUGCCGUAGCUAACGCUUUAAGUACCCCGCCUGGGGAGUACGGCCGCAAGGCUAAAACUCAAAGGAAUUGACGGGGCCCCGCACAAGCGGCGGAGCAUGCGGAUUAAUUCGAUGCAACGCGUAGAACCUUACCUGGGUUUGACAUGGAUCGGGAGUGCUCAGAGAUGGGUGUGCCUCUUUUGGGGUCGGUUCACAGGUGGUGCAUGGCUGUCGUCAGCUCGUGUCGUGAGAUGUUGGGUUAAGUCUCGCAACGAGCGCAACCCUUGUUCACUGUUGCCAGCACGUUAUGGUGGGGACUCAGUGGAGACCGCCGGGGUCAACUCGGAGGAAGGUGGGGAUGACGUCAAGUCAUCAUGCCCCUUAUGUCCAGGGCUUCACGCAUGCUACAAUGGCUGGUACAGAGAGUGGCGAGCCUGUGAGGGUGAGCGAAUCUCGGAAAGCCGGUCUCGGUUCGGAUUGGGGUCUGCAACUCGACCUCAUGAAGUCGGAGUCGCUAGUAAUCGCAGAUCAGCAACGCUGCGGUGAAUACGUUCCCGGG